rnacentral:lncRNA from 1 species
UGUGCGCAGCCAGUCCUCUUCCAUGUCUUCGCCUUGCUUACGGCCGAACAGGACCCUGCGAGCAACACAUACUGGCAAGUUGGAUACUUCAAGUUUUACCUCCUAAUUUUUUGAAUUGUCAGGACUACCAGGUUCAUCUUCCAUGUUUUCCGGCUCUGGGAAAACAUGCUCCCAAACAGCAUCCAUCCUCUGACUCAAGUCAGCAACUCAUCUCGUUGACGUUGUGAUGGACAACCAGUGUUGUAAGUACGGCCUCUCCUCGUACUCAUAAUGACAGCAGCUCCCAUGGAACCACCGCUCUAAUACCAAAAUUGAUGCAAGGGACGGGAAGUAGGAGGAUGAUGGUGGAGAAGACAAUGACAACUCACUUUUUCUUCACUCCUUGGGGCGGAUUGCUUGGGUAGGGAUGAGCGGAGAGCGUUGUUAAUUUGGGUGAGGAUGUGGCUAGAUUGGGUGUGGCCGAGUGUAGAUUGGGUAUGGUGUAGAUAGGUUGAAUGAGUUGCAAUUAGACUUGAUGUGGUUUGACUAAACUAGAUGAGGCAUGGCUAGAAGAAGAAGAGUCUUGUUGGCACUCAAACUCUCUAAUAUGUGGCGUGAGAAUGAAAAUAGUAAGGAUGGCGUGAGAAUGAAAAUAGUUAGGAUGGCGUGGAGAUGGAAGGAGUCCUAUCUUCACUAAGACUCUAAAAUAAGAUGGCGUAAGAAUGGGUGAAGGAGUCCCACCUUCACUCAAACUCUCAAAUAACUUGGCAUGAGAGUGGGUGAAGAAGUCCCACCUUCACUUAACCUCUCUAUUUAACUUAGCAUCUCACCAAGAAAAAGAAGCGCCGCACUUCAGAAAAAUGAUCCAAUUCUAAACUUUUUUCU